GCAGCGGCAACAGCAGCAGCAGCAACAGCAACAGCUUCUCUCAGCGAGAGAAGAAAGGCAAAAGCUUUCGUGUGUGCCGGCAGUACCGUUCUUUCUUUCUACUCCCAAGCCGCAGGAAUGUUCAACGAUCGGGAUUUAAAGCGAGAGGAACGAGAAAGAAGAGUCCGUAAAGCUCACCGAAUGAAAAUAAGGAGGUGUAACCAUGGCCGGCAAGUUUUGCGAGGGACGCUCCCUUCUUCGGCAACUAGGUCUCAUUUUAAUUCCCCUUCGAAAGAGACGAUCGGCAAGCAGCUGUCGCCGUUUGUGUGGUACGUAUACCAUAUUCUAACAUAUCUACUAAUACUAAUACUAAUCUUACAGAGUCAACGAAGAAGACUGAGAUUCUUUCGAUAACUCUCUGUAUUUAAAAAAUGCCUCGUGAACUUUCAAAUUUACCGCUUCUUCGUUCAACAAGUGUUGAAUAUACUGAUUUAAACGCGUGAUAUCUCUAAUAUUAUCCGUUGCAAACAGAAUUGACGAUUGAGAGAAGAUUUAUUAGUCUGUUUGUAUGAACGUUCGAAAAAGUUCUCGUUUUAAAAGAUUACUCGUACUAACGGAUAACAACGUAUCGAAACAAAGGACCCUGAAAAACGAAAUUUAAGAUAAGACAACACGAUCCAUAAAAUAGCUGGAGAUAACGUCGUUGACAUGAAUAUAAUGCAAAGGUGUGCGAUAGCCGCGCCCGCACGAGUAUUCGGUGAGUAGGUCACGAAUCGACAUCUUGCUGGGAUGAUAGAGGGUGGUUGUGUGAUAUAGGUUGACUGUGUCAGGGAUGAAAAUCGGCGUGUCUAGCAAAGAGGAGAUUGUAGAAAUGGUCGAGAGGUAGUUGUGGGUGGAUCAGGCGUUACCUUUCUCUGCGCUUCCGCUGCAAAACCGGAUUUGGUAGCCCUGUGACUGGCCAUGAUCCUUCGAGUCGAGGUCGUUCACCGACGAGGAGGACCAACAAGAACGAGAGACGUUGCAAAGAUUUUUCUUUCUUGUUUUAGUUUUUAUUUCUCUUUCGGUUCUUCUUUUUCUUUUGCUUUUUGCUACGAAUCGAAAUCGAUUCCCGUAAAAGAAGAUGAAGAGAUCGACUGUCUUUUUCUAUCUUUCUUUCUUUCUUUCUUUCUUUCUUUCUUUCUCACUCUUUCUCUUCGAAGACACGAGGAAGAAUAAGCGAGCGUAAAAAACGAGGUUCACGAUUCGACGGUCGCGGCACGACUGAAGCGACGCUGCCGAACCGAGACGGGUGCAGGAUUCGUGCUUCUUCUCCGGCGCCGAUUGGUCGCGACACGCGCGAGUAUUGAGUUUUCGAGCGACACGUGAUCUCCGUUCUCCAGUCUUGCUCCGGAGAUGACGUCAGCAGCAGAUGAAUUCCUUAAAGCAUGGUUCGCGUAUGAGAAGUUUUACGAGACGACUGAUCUCUGAAAAUAAAAGAUUUUUUUUAUUAAAAACCUUGAAACGAAUCAAGGCAUUUUCUUUGUUUUCUGCUGUUAUUAAUUUCGACGAUUUUUAAGAAUCAAUAGGUAUAUCAUAGUAUAGUAGUAUAAACAAUUAUUGUUUUUAAUCAUUAGCACGUACUCAAAGCUAAGAUUUUGGACGAAUGAAAAAGAAUAGGUAGUAUGUUCGAUCGAGAGAGAUGACGCCAUCGCCUGUUGAAUUCUUUGAAUCUGGCCACGUCUUGGACCUUGCCAUCUCACUUUGAGAGCUUUCCAUCACGCCCACGACUUCUACCAUAGGUGGUCCUAACAAGUACAUGACAUGAACAGAAUAUUCUACUAGCGAAAAUGUCUUAUUAUUUCAUAUUUUGAAAAUAUUACAAAUUUUAUCAUAUUUUAUGAUACGAUAUCUUUUGAUUGUAAUAUGUUGCAUACUUAGUUUUGUAAAUUCAUCAAUAAAUACGAAAUGUACAUACA